rnacentral:rRNA from 1 species
CCCUUAGAUGUUCUGGGCCGCACGCGCGCUACACUGACGAAUGCAACGAGCUUAUAACCUUGGCCGAAAGGUCUGGGUAAUCUCCAAAUUUCGUCGUGAUGGGGAUAGAUUAUUGCAAUUAUUAAUCUUCAACGAGGAAUGCCUAGUAAGCGCAAGUCAUCAGCUUGCGUUGAUUACGUCCCUGCCCUUUGUACACACCGCCUGUCGCUCCUACCGAUUGAAUGGUCCGGUGAAGCGUUCGGACCGUGGCCUUUGGACGGUUCGCCGUCUGUUGGCUGCGGGAAGUUCGUUAAACCUUAUCAUUUAGAGGAAGGAGAAGUCGUAACA